GCCGGCAGCUCCACGGGGACCCAUGGGACCCUGAAGCGAAAAUCAGAAAUAAGGCUUUUAAAUCAUUAAAGGUGCAGUUUACGUUGAGGCUGACUAUGAGACUAACCAGGAACAGUCUAGUCAUUUGAUAUCAGGACACAGAGAGAGAUGCAGUUAUUAUACCGUCAUCGGGGCAGAUGGGGCAGCACUCGUCGUGGGGGAUGAUGGGGUUGGGGCAGUCCGUUGUAUCCUCGCAGAUGACCUCAUCGCACAUCACCGUGCCACUGUCGCACACACAGAUCUGACAUGGCUCCGGCUUCCACACAUCCCGGUCUGCAAACACCUGGCCAUCCAGAGUGCAGCUUUUGCCCGUGCCUGAGGGGGGCGACACAGAGGGAGAGGGACGACACAGAUCUCAGAAGCCGUCCAGCCACGUAGAGAAAAUCCACUUUCCAAACCCAGUAAA